rnacentral:rRNA from 1 species
GCUACAGGCUUAACACAUGCAAGUCGAGGGGAAACGACAUCGAAAGCUUGCUUUUGAUGGGCGUCGACCGGCGCACGGGUGAGUAACGCGUAUCCAACCUGCCCACCACUUGGGGAUAACCUUGCGAAAGUAAGACUAAUACCCAAUGAUAUCUCAAGAAGACAUCUGAAUGAGAUUAAAGAUUUAUCGGUGAUGGAUGGGGAUGCGUCUGAUUAGCUUGUUGGCGGGGUAACGGCCCACCAAGGCGACGAUCAGUAGGGGUUCUGAGAGGAAGGUCCCCCACAUUGGAACUGAGACACGGUCCAAACUCCUACGGGAGGCAGCAGUGAGGAAUAUUGGUCAAUGGGCGAGAGCCUGAACCAGCCAAGUAGCGUGCAGGAUGACGGCCCUAUGGGUUGUAAACUGCUUUUAUAAGGGAAUAAAGUGAGUCUCGUGAGACUUUUUGCAUGUACCUUAUGAAUAAGGACCGGCUAAUUCCGUGCCAGCAGCCGCGGUAAUACGGAAGGUCCGGGUGUUAUCCGGAUUUAUUGGGUUUAAAGGGAGCGUAGGCCGGAGAUUAAGCGUGUUGUGAAAUGUAGAUGCUCAACAUCUGCACUGCAGCGCGAACUGGUUUCCUUGAGUACGCACAAAGUGGGCGGAAUUCGUGGUGUAGCGGUGAAAUGCUUAGAUAUCACGAAGAACUCCGAUUGCGAAGGCAGCUCACUGGAGCGCAACUGACGCUGAAGCUCGAAAGUGCGGGUAUCGAACAGGAUUAGAUACCCUGGUAGUCCGCACGGUAAACGAUGGAUGCCCGCUGUUGGUCUGAAUAGGUCAGCGGCCAAGCGAAAGCAUUAAGCAUCCCACCUGGGGAGUACGCCGGCAACGGUGCAACUCAAAGGAAUUGACGGA